UACAGAGGUCUCAAGCGUUGUUCGGAUUCAUUGGGCGUAAAGGGUGCGUAGGCGGCGCGGUAAGUCGGGUGUGAAAUCUCGGGGCUUAACUCCGAAACUGCAUUCGAUACUGCCGUGCUUGAGGACUGGAGAGGAGACUGGAAUUUACGGUGUAGCGGUGAAAUGCGUUGAUAUCGAUAGGAACUCCGGUGGCGAAGGCGGCAUACUGGACCACCUCUGACGCUGAGGCGCGAAAGCCAGGGGAGCAAACGGG
rnacentral:rRNA from 1 species